rnacentral:rRNA from 1 species
GACGAACGCUGGCGGCGUGCUUAACACAUGCAAGUCGAACGGAAAGGCCCUGCUUGCAGGGUACUCGAGUGGCGAACGGGUGAGUAACACGUGGGUGAUCUGCCCUUCACUUCGGGAUAAGCCUGGGAAACUGGGUCUAAUACCGGAUAGGAGCCAUUUUUAGUGUGAUGGUUGGAAAGUUUUUUCGGUGUAGGAUGAGCUCGCGGCCUAUCAGCUUGUUGGUGGGGUAAUGGCCUACCAAGGCGGCGACGGGUAGCCGGCCUGAGAGGGUGGACGGCCACGUUGGGACUGAGGUACGGCCCAGACUCCUACGGGAGGCAGAAGUGGGGAAUAUUGCACAAUGGGCGCAAGCCUGAUGCAGCGACGCCGCGUGGGGGAUGACGGCCUUCGGGUUGUAAACUCCUUUCGCUAGGGACGAAGCUUUUUGUGACGGUACCUAGAUAAGAAGCACCGGCUAACUACGUG